GGGCCUAUGGCGCAAUUGGUAGCGCGUAGUAAGUUCCUCUGAAAUAUCUACUCUCGGCCCAAACGUAUUCUAACCACUUCAACAGCGACUCCAGAUCGUAAGGUUGCCUGAUCGAGCCGGGCUGGGCUCA